rnacentral:rRNA from 1 species
GAUCAGUAGGGGUUCUGAGAGGAAGGUCCCCCACAUUGGAACUGAGACACGGUCCAAACUCCUACGGGAGGCAGCAGUGAGGAAUAUUGGUCAAUGGACGAGAGUCUGAACCAGCCAAGUAGCGUGCAGGAUGACGGCCCUAUGGGUUGUAAACUGCUUUUAUAGGGGGAUAAAGUGUGCCACGUGUGGCAUAUUGCAGGUACCCUAUGAAUAAGGACCGGCUAAUUCCGUGCCAGCAGCCGCGGUAAUACGGAAGGUCCAGGCGUUAUCCGGAUUUACUGGGUGUAAAGGGAGCGUAGACGGACUGGCAAGUCUGAUGUGAAAGGCGGGGGCUCAACCCCUGGACUGCAUUGGAAACUGUUAGUCUUGAGUGCCGGAGAGGUAAGCGGAAUUCCUAGUGUAGCGGUGAAAUGCGUAGAUAUUAGGAGGAA